UACGUAGGGUGCAAGCGUUGUCCGGAAUUAUUGGGCGUAAAGAGCUCGUAGGCGGUUUGUCGCGUCGGAUGUGAAAACCCGGGGCUCAACCCCGGGCCUGCAUUCGAUACGGGCAGACUAGAGUUCGGUAGGGGAGACUGGAAUUCCUGGUGUAGCGGUGAAAUGCGCAGAUAUCAGGAGGAACACCGGUGGCGAAGGCGGGUCUCUGGGCCGUAACUGACGCUGAGGAGCGAAAGCGUGGGGAGCGAACAGG
rnacentral:rRNA from 1 species